CACCGCCCGUCACAUCAUGAAAGCCGGUUGUACCCGAAGCCCAUGUAGAAACCGCAAGGAUCUAGUGGCCGAAGGUAUGGCUGGUGAUUGGGAGUG
rnacentral:rRNA from 1 species